GUAGAAAGAUAAUCGAGAUUUCAGCUUGUCGAUUAUUUUUAUUUUUUUAUUCUGUUGAAUGCCUUUAAUUAUAAAUAACAACUUUAUUAAUGAAAAAUGGAUGUGUACACACUAAUUCUCAUAAACCAGAUUCCUAACCAGUAAACUCUUUAGCAACCAGAAGGAUCUGUUUAUUAUACAAUCCAAGGAAAUAAAAAAUAAAAACAAAAAAAAAAAUCAGGGAAAACUUUAUCAAAAGUCCAAUGAUUAAUUUUUCUUGAUAAAUUCCCGAGCUAACUCACAAACAAAACAAAUGUUUGUGGAAACUUUUGAUUUUUUAUUUUUUUUAAUUAUUAGAUAGUUUUAUAUCAAAAAAAAACUUAUUUGGGGCACAUAGGGAAGCUAAGUUUUCCACCGAAGAUAACGUUGGCGUUGUCGCAAAAAG
rnacentral:lncRNA from 1 species